UCAACACAUUCCACUAAGUUAUUACAACCUGUGCUUAUUUAUGUAUUUAUUAAUUCAAGUGUGUGUCGCUGUUGAAUCUAUGCAGCAACUAGGUGUUUUGGGUAAGCCCCUGUCUUUGAGUUCUAUCAAAAUACAUGAAAGGAAAUGGGAGUCUUGCUGUUUUAUUACAUAUUAGAGCAGCGGUCGGCAACCUUUGAGAAGUGGCAUGCCAAGUCUUCAGUAAUUUCGAGGAUUCGCGUGCCAGUAAUAAAUUUUACAUUUACAGGGGCCCCUCGACAGAACCCCUGACUGGCAGAGGGCUGAGCGGGGCAGCGGCAGGGACCCCAGCUGGCAGGGGCCGGUGGACGGAACCCCAGACCACAGCUCCUGCCAGCCAGGGUCCCAGCCCCCAGCGCCACUCAGCCCGCGGCCGUCCCCAGGUUCCGUCUAUCCAGGCCGGCAGCAGGAUGAGUGGGGCCAGCGGCCAGGACCGCAGACCGUCAGUGCAGGCAGCAGACGGAACCCCAGCCCGUGUUCCAGGGAGCGUGGGCAGCAGACUCGGUCUGAAGCAGUCAAUCUACCAAGCUGUGAGUGAAGAUGAGGAAAUGAACAAGGAACUACAACAGAAACUA